UUGUUUGUUUUUUACCUCAAAACUUUUUGACUUUGAUUUUCAUUGUAGAAUACAUGGCCAUAAAACAAAAACUACAGAAGCCAAAAAGAGAACUUUUAUGUAUCCACUUGGUCAGCUCAGUGUAGCAACUGAGUAUUCCCUAAAUAAAUCCUACCAUGUUUUAAAUGGAGAUUACGUGUUCCCAGUAUGAAAUCUUAUAACAAGCUCCCUGAGACAAGAUGGUCACAUUUUGAAUAAUAGUCAAUAGAUUUUUGAUUUGGUGUUUUAUUUGUGUUAUAUGUAUCCAUGUAAACAGAGUUAACUGGUGUUGUUUAUCAACUGCAAUAUUAUAGUAUGGUUUACUUACAAUCUUUGAGCUUGUUAUCUAUUUUAUGGUUAAACAUUGUAAAUCUCCAACUGGCUCACAUCCUCACAUACACACUUUGUGCAAAAGUCACUGUAAACCAACAUAAACACUGGCUUUGACAAUAUCCUUUUCUAUACCCUCAAACAUACUAGCACUCAUACUCAGAAAACACUUCAACCCUUCCAUUUCUACAGGAACAUAACCUAAUCUUUUGAAACACACUACACUGUGUCUUAUUUCCAAGAAAGGUAAUUUCUCUCAUUCUGCCUUUUGUUGUCCAAUCUUACUCACUUUCAAUGAUGUUCUUCAGCACCUUAAAUCUCUCACUCCUUAACAACCAGAAUACAACUUCCAACAAGACAGAUACACUGGAGACCUAAUCACACACCUGCCAGUAGGCUCUCUCCUUAGAGAAAUUUGGUGAGAGCAAUAUUGUUGCCCUAUACAUCAUGAAGUUCUCAGUGAUGUUUAGUAUAUGAACCUCCUAUCAAAAUUGCCUGCCUAUGGACUCCAUCCAUCUCUCAUGUCUUUGAUUGUUGGUUUCCUAUCUGAUUGCACUAUUGCAGCUUGUGUUGAUAAAGAUCUUUGCACCCGACUCUCAAUGAACUCUAAUGUACCUCAGGCUUCAGUUUUGUCCUCUAUUUUCUUCCUUCUACAUUGAACAAGUUACUUGCCAUCACAUCCCAAAAUUCUACAAAGUCCAGAUACAGCAAGUAAAAGCAAAAAAUAAUCCAUACACAUUAAGGUUAAUCAUACUGACUUCUGUACCUUGCUGUUCAAUUACUGCAAUUUAAACAGAUUCCAGCCAAUGAAGAAGCCCUGCU